ACUCCCUCCGUUUCAUAAUGUAAGUCAUUCUAGCAUUUCCCACAUUCAUAUUGAUGUCAAUGAAUCUAGACAGAUGUCUAGAUUCAUUGACAUCAAUAUGAAUGUGGGAAAUGAUAGAAUGACUUACAUUGUGAAACGGAGGAAGUAUA
rnacentral:misc_RNA from 1 species